rnacentral:rRNA from 1 species
GAUGAACGCUGGCGGCGUGCCUAAUACAUGCAAGUCGAGCGAACGGACGAGAAGCUUGCUUCUCUGAUGUUAGGGGCGGACGGGUGAGUAACACGUGGAUAACCUACCUAUAAGACUGGGAUAACUUCGUGAAACCGGAGCUAAUACCGGAUAAUAUUUUGAACCGCAUGGUUCAAAAGUGAAAGACGGUCUUGCUGUCACUUAUAGAUGGAUCCGCGCUGCAUUAGCUAGUUGGUAAGGUAACGGCUUACCAAGGCAACGAUGCAUAGCCGACCUGAGAGGGUGAUCGGCCACACUGGAACUGAGACACGGUCCAGACUCCUACGGGAGGCAGCAGUAGGGAAUCUUCCGCAAUGGGCGAAAGCCUGACGGAGCAACGCCGCGUGAGUGAUGAAGGUCUUCGGAUCGUAAAACUCUGUUAUUAGGGAAGAACAUAUGUGUAAGUAACUGUGCACAUCUUGACGGUACCUAAUCAGAAAGCCACGGCUAACUACGUG